rnacentral:rRNA from 1 species
AGCGAACGCUGGCGGCAAGCUUAACACAUGCAAGUCGAACGAUGUAGCAAUACAUAGUGGCGGACGGGUGCAUAACACGUGGGAAUCUGCCUUUAGGUACGGAAUAACUCAGGGAAACUUGAGCUAAUACCGUAUAAAAUCUCCGGAUCAAAGAUUUAUCGCCUAAAGAUGAGCCCGCGUCAGAUUAGCUAGUUGGUGGGGUAACGGCCUACCAAGGCGACGAUCUGUAGCUGGUCUUAGAGGAUGAUCAGCCACACUGGGACUGAGACACGGCCCAGACUCCUACGGGAGGCAGCAGUGGGGAAUAUUGGACAAUGGGGGAAACCCUGAUCCAGCUAUGCCGCGUGAGUGAUGAAGGCCUUAGGGUUGUAAAGCUCUUUUAGAUGGGAAGAUAAUGACGGUAACAUCAGAAAAAGCCCCGGCUAACUUCGUGCCAGCCGCCGCAGUAA